GAUAAAACGUGUUUUAUGUUUAUCUAUAUUCAUAUUGAUAUUCUAGUCUUUAUGAGUUAAUUAUUUUACUUUUUAAUUAUAAAUAAAUUAUGUCAGAUGAUAAGAAUAAUGGGAGCAGACGAUCUUUUUGAUGAUGCGAAGAGUCAUUUUGAAUGGAACGAAAAUAAUUCCCCUUGUAAAUCAUUAAUCAGAUUUUCCUCUUGGAGUCUGAUUUACUUUAAAUGAUGGUCAAAUUUAAAAACCUUGUGCUCUUCUAUCCUAUGGAAAUUAAAUCAAUAUUUAGAAAUUAAUAUUGAUGCAUCAACGUUAGAAUUUGGCGUUUGUUUUUUGGAUGGGAAGUUCGAGCAAGGAGAAUGGUCUAUAGAGUGAUAGAAAUUACAAAUCAACAUGCCACGCAAAUUUACUAGUACCAUCUUUGAAGAUUACAACUGUAUUCCUACUGAAGUGAAAUCAGGAUAGCUGAAGACACUGUUUCAGGAUCGCUACUGUACGAUAGGUGAAUUUUAAGCUCUCUGCUUCCUUGAAGUCAUCCAUUCGCUCCUAUUGUUUGCUAAUAUAUCUUCUGGAUCUUCCCUUUUGGCUACAUAAAAAAAAACACACACAAAAAAAAAAUCCCAUUUCUCCCAUGCUUUACGUAACAACAAUAUUGACAUAAUUUCUUGAUCCUCAGUCUUUUUAUCUCUGCAACAAUAUAUUCUUCAUCUGGAGAUUCACUCCUCCUAGGCUCCGUAUUGUAUUUGGAAAAUUCUCUCGGACUACAGCACUACAAUGAGAUUCAGCAUACUCCUUAUUAUUUAUAAUUAUUGUCUCCAUAGCUAGUUUGGACGGAUGCUUCCAUUGUCAAAUUGUAUUCCUCUAGGAGUCUUAUUCUUUUAUCUGAAGAGCCAAUCCCAGCUAUAAGUGAAUCCAUCAAUGUCACAGACCUGUGUUCUUGAACGUUCACUGAGUUGACUUCACAAUCAUGAACCAGCGUCAUCAAGGUUACGAUUAGACUUCCUGGGAGCCUGAGGAGUCCGUAUAUUACCACAUAAGGAUUUCUGAGACUAAUGAGUGCUUCUUUAAGCACAUUAAUAGCUUUAUCAUAAGGUUUGAUUGAGAUUACGAUAUGAAGAGCAAAAUUUAGUCUGAAUCCCAGUCGUGUCAUUUUUUUGAGAUA
rnacentral:lncRNA from 1 species